GCAGCGGUGGUUCAGUGGUAGAAUUCUCACCUUGCAUGCGAGAGACCUGGGUUCGAUUCCCGGCAAAUGCA
rnacentral:tRNA from 1 species